GGGAUUGUGGCUCAGUGGCAGAGCUCUUAUCUAGCAUGUGUGAUGCCCUAGGUUCGAAUCCCAGCACCA
rnacentral:tRNA from 1 species